rnacentral:rRNA from 1 species
AUUGAACGCUGGCGGCAUGCCUUACACAUGCAAGUCGAACGGUAACAGGCCUUCGGGUGCUGACGAGUGGAGAACGGGUGAGUAAUACAUCGGAACGUGCCCGAACGUGGGGGAUAACGCAGCGAAAGCUUUGCUAAUACCGCAUACGAUCUAAGGAUGAAAGCGGGGGACCACGCGGCAAUUCGCGGCCGCGGGGCAUUAUGGCGGACGAUGUCGGAUUAGGUAGUUGGGGGGAUAAAGGCGUACCAAGCCGACGAUCUGUAGAUGGUCUGAGAGGACGAGCAGCCACACUGGGACUGAGACACGGCCCAGACUCCUACGGGAGGCAGCAGUGGGGAAUUUUGGACAAUGGGCGCAAGCCUGAUCCAGCCAUGCCGCGUGCAGGAUGAAGGCCUUCGGGUUGUAAACUGCUUUUGUACGGAACGAAAAGGCUUCUGUUAAUACAUGGGGGUGAUGACGGUACCGUAAGAAUAAGCACCGGCUAACUACGUG